AGGAGGCCGUAUCUCCUGCGG
rnacentral:miRNA from 1 species